GCCUGUGUGGCUCAGUCGGUUGAGCGUCUGACUUUGGUUCAGGUCAUGAUCUCGCAGUCUGUGAGUUCGAGCCCCAUGUCGGGCU
rnacentral:tRNA from 1 species